UACGUAGGGUGCGAGCGUUGUCCGGAAUUAUUGGGCGUAAAGGGCUCGUAGGCGGUUUGUCGCGUCGGGAGUGAAAUCAUCUGGCUUAACUGGGUGCUUGCUUUCGAUACGGGCAGACUAGAGGUAUGCAGGGGAGAACGGAAUUCCUGGUGUAGCGGUGAAAUGCGCAGAUAUCAGGAGGAACACCCGUAGCGAAGGCGGCACUCUGGGCCGGAACUGACGCUGAGGAGCGAAAGCGUGGGGAGCAAACAGG
rnacentral:rRNA from 1 species